rnacentral:rRNA from 1 species
UACGGAGGAUCCAAGCGUUAUCCGGAAUCAUUGGGUUUAAAGGGUCCGUAGGCGGUUUAAUAAGUCAGUGGUGAAAGCCCAUCGCUCAACGGUGGAACGGCCAUUGAUACUGUUAAACUUGAAUUAUUAGGAAGUAACUAGAAUAUGUAGUGUAGCGGUGAAAUGCUUAGAGAUUACAUGAAUACCAAUUGCGAAGGCAGGUUACUACUAAUGGAUUGACGCUGAUGGACGAAAGCGUGGGUAGCGAACAGG